rnacentral:rRNA from 1 species
UACGUAGGGUCCAAGCGUUAAUCGGAAUUACUGGGCGUAAAGCGUGCGCAGGCGGUUCGUUAAGUCAGCUGUGAAAGCCCCGGGCUCAACCUGGGAAUUGCGGUUGAAACUGGCGAACUAGAAUCUGGCAGAGGGGGGUGGAAUUCCACGUGUAGCAGUGAAAUGCGUAGAGAUGUGGAGGAACACCGAUGGCGUAGGCAGCCCCCUGGGCUGAGAUUGACGCUCAGGCACGAAAGCGUGGGGAGCAAACAGG